rnacentral:snRNA from 1 species
UCAAACGCUAUGUUAGACUUAAA